CACCUGUUUAUCAAAAACAUGGUUUUUUGAUAAUAAUUUAAAAUUGUUUUCUGCUCUAUGAGAUUAUAUUUUAAAUGGCUGCAGUAUAUUGACUGUACUAAGGUAGCAUAAUCAAUUGCUUUUUAAAUGAAAGCUUGGAUGAAAGAAUUGAUGAAAUUUUUACUGUCUUAAAUUUAAAUAUUUAAUUUAUUAAUUAAGUAAAAAUACUUAAGUAAUAUUAUGGGACGAUAAGACCCUAUAGAAUUUAAUAUAAAGAUAAUUUAAUUUUGGGUUAAUAAAGUUGAUUUUUUAUAUUUAGUUGGGAGGAUUGUUAAAUUUUAUAAACUUUAAUUAUGAGUGAGAAUAUUGAUGAAUAAAGGAUAAAGGAGUGGUUAAUAAAUUUAAUAAGAAUUAAUUACCUUAGGGAUAACAGCGUAAUAUUUUUAGAGAGAUCUUAUCAAUAAAAAUGAUUGCGACCUCGAUGUUGAAUUAAAAUAAAAAUUAAAUGUAGAUAUUUAAUAUUUAAGUCCU
rnacentral:rRNA from 1 species